GAUUAGUGGCUCAGGAUGAACGCUAGCUACAGGCUUAACACAUGCAAGUCGAGGGGCAGCAUGAUCGAAGCUUGCUUUGAUGAGUGGCCGACCGGCGCGACGGGUGAGUAACGCGUAUCCAACCUUCCCUGUAGUAGAGAAUAGCCCGGCGAAAGUCGGAUUAAUGCUCUAUGUUGUAUUUCGAUGACAUCUGAAGAAUACCAAAGGUUUACCGCUAUAGGAUGGGGAUGCGUCUGAUUAGGUUGUUGGCGGGUAACGGCCCACCAAGCCGACGAUCAGUAGGGGUUCUGAGAGGAAGGUCCCCCACAUUGGAACUGAGACACGGUCCAAACUCCUACGGGAGGCAGCAGUGAGGAAUAUUGGUCAAUGGACGGAAGUCUGAACCAGCCAAAAGUAGCGUGCAGGAUGACCGGCCCUAGUGGGUUAGUAAACUGUCUUUUAUAGUAGGGAUAAAGUCGGGGACGUGUCCCCGUUUGUAGGUACUAUAUGAAUAAGGACCGGCUAAUUCCGUGCCAGCCGCGGC
rnacentral:rRNA from 1 species